rnacentral:rRNA from 1 species
CUACGGAGGGUGCAAGCGUUAUCCGGAAUCAUUGGGUUUAAAGGGUCCGUAGGCGGAUUGGUAAGUCAGUGGUGAAAGUCUGCAGCUUAACUGUAGAAUUGCCAUUGAUACUGCUAGUCUUGAAUUACUGUGAAGUGAUUAGAAUGUGUAGUGUAGCGGUGAAAUGCAUAGAUAUUACACAGAAUACCAAUUGCGAAGGCAGAUCACUAACAGUAUAUUGACGCUGAGGGACGAAAGCGUGGGGAGCGAACAGGAUUAGAAACCCUUGUAGUCC